rnacentral:lncRNA from 1 species
GAUAAAAUCUGCACUUAGGCCACCAUUGAUGAGCUUUACAGAAGGAAAAGAAGAAACUAAUAGAGAGUAAUUGUUUUGUGAUGAUAUAUUCUUAUUUCAAUAAUAGAUCCACUUAUAUACAACACAUUUACAAAGUUAGUUACUAACUAACUUAUCCACCUGUCUACUUCUUAUUGGAAACUUAAUAACAACUUAACAAUCUUCUCAACUAACUAAUCUAUACACAAUUAUCAACUAACUAUUCCUUUAUUUCCACACUCCCCCUCCAAGUUGAGAAUGGAAAAUGUUUUUCAUUCCUAACUUAACCAGUAAUGUAGCAUGUUGUUGACGACCCAAAGCUUUGGUAAACACAUCUGCUGGUUGUUCCUUACUUGCAACGUGUUUUGUUCUUUCAUGAUACAUGGGAUUAGCUGCUAUUUGUAAUGCAGCUUUAUUAUCACAAUAUAGAUUAAUUGGCAACUGCACCUUCACCUGCAACUCUUGUAACAACCCUUUUAACCAAGUCAAUUCAGCUACUAUUUGAGCCAUACACCUAUAUUCUGCCUCAGCAGAACUUCUAGAGACAGUGUUUUGUUUCUUAGCUUCCCAUGAGAUGAGAGAUGUUCCCAAUUUGAUACAAAAACCAGAGACAGACUUUCUAGACAUAGGACAAGAAGCCCAGUCAGAGUCACAAUAUGCUUCUAUCUUCUCAUCCCCUUUACUAGACAUUAAAAGACCAAGCCCGGGCUGACUCUUGAUAUACUUUACCACAUGCAAAGCAGCUUCAUAAUGAGGCUGUUUAGGAGCAUGCAUAAACUGACUUAAGGACUGAACAACAUAUGAUAUAUCAGGCCUUGUGAUUGUAAGAUAUAAGAGUUUUCCCACCAAUCUCUGAUAGACACUCCUAUCAUCCAAAAGAACAUCCUUAGAUUUUUCAGAGAAUUUAAGAUCAUGCUCACUGCUAGUUAGUUUCAUGUUCUGCUCCAUUGGUGUCCACUUAGGCUUUGAACCACUCAAUCCAGUCUCUGAGAUCAUUUCCAGAGCAUACUUCCUUUGUGAUAAGAGGAUUCCCUCGCUUGACCUUGCAAUUUCAAUUCCCAGAAAAUACCUCAGUUCUCCUAGGUCCUUCAUCUUGAAGUUUUUAUGUAACUCAAGUUUAGCUCUAUUGAUUUCUUGUAGAUUAGACCCUGUGACAAGCAAGUCAUCUACAUAAACAAGAACCAACACUAGCUUGUUAUUAGUUGUUUUUGUGAAAAGAGAAUAAUCAUUCUUGCUCUGUGUGAAACCAGAAUUUAUUAGAACUUGUGUCAAUUUCAGGUUCCACUGUCUAGAAGCCUGUUUCAGACCAUAUAAGGAUUUGAGUAGCCUGCAUACCUUUGACUCCCCCUGGCUACUAAAACCUUGUGGCAAAGCCAUGUACACCUCCUCAGAAAGAUCACCAUUAAGAAAUGCAUUGUGGACAUCCAUUUGGAAAAUAGGCCAAUGCCUAAGGGCAGCCAAUGCAAUCACAGUCCUAACUGUGGUCAUUUUUGCUACAGGGGAGAAAGUAUCAUGAAAGUCAAUGCCUUCCUUCUGAGUAUACCCCUUAGCUACUAACCUUGCUUUAAACCUUUCUACAGUCCCAUCAGCAUGAUACUUUACCUUGUAAACCCAUCUAGAACCAAUAGGAACCUUCCCAGAUGGCAAAUCCACCACCUCCCAAGUAUGAUUAUGAUCUAAAGCCUCAAGUUCAAGCUUCAUAGCUUGAAUCCACCAAGGAUCCUUAACAGCUUGGGAAUAAGAGGUAGGCUCAGAAAUAGAAGAAAAUGAGGUAAGAAAAGCCUGAAAUGGAUAAGAAAGAUGAGAAUAUGAAAGAUAUGAUUGAAUAGGAUAAAGAGAACAAGAACUAGCAGAAGUAGAAGAAGUAGUAGAGGGCAAAGAAUGAUGAACAUAAUCUGUGAGCCAUAUAUGAGGCUUAGUAAGUCUAUUUGAUUUUCUUAAAGGAACAUGAGAUGCAUCAUCAUGUGAAGAAACAACAGGUGAAGAGGAAGAAGGAUUAGGACAGUCGGGAUGCUCAUCAGGAAGAUCUAAUGAAGAUACAUGAGGAGAAUCUGGCAUAGCAAUAGUAGAAGAGUCCUUAGAACCAGGAAGAAACUGUGACUUAGGAUGAGAGAAAGGAAAUAUAUUCUCAUGAAAUCUAACAUCUCGACUGAUUAUAAACUUUUCUGCAGCAAUGUCAUAUACCCUGUAACCUUUCUGAGCAACAGAAUACCCCAUAAAGACUCCUGUAAUAACCUUGGAAGAAAAUUUGUCAUGAAAAACAGGAAUAGUAGCAUAACAAAGACACCCAAAAGUUCUCAAAUGAGACAAAAUGGGUGGUGUACCAUGAAAAACUUCAUAAGGUGAAAUGUUAUUCAGCACAGUACUAGGAAGCCUAUUGAUAAUAUAAGUGGUUGUAAGUAGACAGUCACCCCAGAAUUUGAUAGGUAUAUUAGCCUGAAACCUAAUAGCCCUUGCUACUUCUAGGAGAUGCCUAUGUUUCCUCUCCACAACCCCAUUUUGUUGUGGAGUAUGAACACAACUACUUUGGUGAAUAAUCCCUUUGGUCUUGAAGAAAUUAGUGGAUAAAGUGUUAAAAAACUCAAAACCAUUGUCUGAUCUCAAGAUUUUUACUUUGGUAGAAAACUGGUUCUCAACAAGAAGAAUAAAAUCCUUAAGCAGCACAAACACAUCACUCUUAAGCCUUAGUAAAAAAAUCCAAGUCAUUCUCGAAAAAUCAUCUACAAGAGUAAGGAAAUACUUGAAUCCAUUAUAAGUGGGAACCCUGUAAGGUCCCCAAAUGUCAGCAUGAACAAGAUCAAACACAGCUGAAGUUUUAGAAAUACUAACAGGAAAAGGCAACCUAGUCUGCCUAGCUAAGGGACAAACAGAACAAUGACAAUAGCCAACAUAAUCUAGCAAUCUAGUUAUUACAGGUAUCCUUUUCAAAACAGAAAUGGGGGCAUGUCCUAGCCUUUGAUGCCAUAAAUGUGACACAGAAGCAGAUACUGCAGUAGUCAUGCAUUUGAAAAGAAAGCUUUUAGCAGGUGUUGAAGGACUAAGGAUGUAUAAGCCACCCUCUUGUCUACCAAUCCCCUUCACCUUGCCACUUGAGAGGUCCUGAAAAAGACAAAAAUCAGGGUAAAAAUGUACUGAACUAUUAAGCUCUCUUGUAUACUUAGCUACAGACAGUAAAUUGGUGUUAAACUUAGGUAUACACAGAACAUUGUGAAGAGUUUUAGAGGGUAACAAACUACAAGAUCCUGUAUGUGUAAUCUCAGUGCUCUGACCAGUAGGAAGAUGAACAUAAGUAGGUUUAGAUGAAGGAAUUGGAUUUAUCAGUGAACUCAAGGAAGAAGUCAUGUGAUUUGAGGCUCCAGAAUCAAUAAUCCAACAGUCUGAUUUAGUGGAACCCAUACCUGCCAUAUUGGCUACAUCUACUGGUGAAUCUUCCUUGUCCUCUCCUUUAUUCUUCCUCUUUAAAUCUUCCAUCAUUUGCACAAACUGCAAGUAUUGAUCAUUAUUGAGACCUUGGAAGACAGAACCCAUACUACCAUUCCUUGAAAUAUGCUCUUCCUGACUCAUCACAUUAUGUGCUGAUGAUUGAUCAUAAGAGGUCUUCUUUCUAUUAUUGUUAAACUUGAACCCUGGAGGGUAUCCAAUCAACUUGUAACAUGUUUCUCUAGUAUGACCCUUUAACUUGCAGUAAUCACACUUUAAUUCUGUGUUUGGAUUCCUUCUAGGUCUCAUAUUAGAGACAUUUGCAACAAUCAAGGAGCUGUGAGUCCCUUCUACAGGUGAAAUGCCCAAGAUUCCAUUACUUCCUCUUUGGAUCUCUUCUUGAAUCAUCAUAGAAUACGCUUGAUCCAAAGUGGGAGUAGGUGUCAUCAUAAGAAUUUGACUUCUUUGUGGAGCAUAAGUCUCAUUUAGGCCCAUUAAGAAUUUCAUAAACUUCUGCUGAUGCAAAUAAGCUGUGAAAUUCUUAGAUUUAUCACAAUCACAUGCUGGAAAGGGAAUUAUAGACUCAAGCUCAUCCCACAAAUCAUUCAACUUGGAGAAGUAAACAGAGAUGUUUUGAAUCCCUUGAUCAAUCAUACAGAUCUCCUUGUGAAGCUGGAAAAUCUUGGUUGCAUUCACUUUAUCAAAUCUUUCCUUAAAUGCCUUCCAAACCUUGUGAGCACUCUCAGAAUAUACAAUGCCUUUUCUCAAUUCUUGAGUCACAGAACUCAUGAUCCAUGACUGUACUAUCGCAUUACACCUAUCCCACUGAUGUAACUUGAACUCAUCCUCCAGAUACGUUUCUCUCUUGCAAGAUCCAUUAAUGAAACCUACUUUAUUCUUUACUAGCAGAGACAACAACAUCGAUCUACUCCAUUCUGAGUAAUUACCAGUUCCUGUCAACAGCUGAGGAACGAGAGAGAUACCUGGUGUAUCUGAAUGUUGCAUAUACAGUGGGUCAUUGCGAUCCAAUUGAGGAAUUGUUCUUGGACCUGUUACUCCAGUACCAACAGAUUCCGAAUUGUCUCCCAUUGUUGGAAAAAAAAAACUUUGAAUCAGAUAACCAGUAAGUAAGAACAAGAAUUUCAAGUGAGAACGAAAAGGGGGGAAAUCAGGAAAUCAAGAAGAGGAGAUCAGGAAGAUGAUGAAGAAGCUCAUCAGCUAUGGAACGCACUGUCACCUAGUGCUCUGAUACCAUGAUAAAAUCUGCACUUAGGCCACCAUUGAUGAGCUUUACAGAAGGAAAAGAAGAAACUAAUAGAGAGUAAUUGUUUUGUGAUGAUAUAUUUUUAUUUCAAUAAUAGAUCCACUUAUAUACAUCACAUUUACAAAGUUAGUUACUAACUAACUUAUCCACCUGUCUACUUCUUAUUGGAAACUUAAUAACAACUUAACAAUCUUCUCAACUAACUAAUCUAUACACAAUUAUCAACUAACUAUUCCUUUAUUUCUACA